CGGACGGGUGAGUAACGCGUGGAAAACCUGCCGUAUACUGGGGGAUAACACUUAGAAAUAGGUGCUAAUACCGCAUAAGCGCACAGCUUCGCAUGAAGUGGUGUGAAAAACUCCGGUGGUAUACGAUGGUUCCGCGUCUGAUUAGCUUGUUGGUGGGGUAAUGGCUCACCAAGGCGACGAUCAGUAGCCGGCCUGAGAGGGUGAACGGCCACAUUGGGACUGAGACACGGCCCAAACUCCUACGGAAGGCAGCAG
rnacentral:rRNA from 1 species